UACGUAGGGUGCGAGCGUUUGUCCGGAAUUAUUGGGCGUAAAGGGCUCGUAGGCGGUUUGUCGCGUCGGGAGUGAAAACGCCGUGCUUAACACGGCGCUUGCUUUCGAUACGGGCAGACUAGAGGUAUUCAGGGGAGAACGGAAUUCCUGGUGUAGCGGUGAAAUGCGCAGAUAUCAGGAGGAACACCGGUGGCGAAGGCGGUUCUCUGGGAAUGACCUGACGCUGAGGAGCGAAAGUGUGGGGAGCGAACAGG
rnacentral:rRNA from 1 species